CUUUACUGCAGCUUGACAUUGGAUUUUGGUAUUGCAUGUACAGGAUAGGUGGGAGGCUGAGAAGCCAGUGCGCCAGUUUUGGCAGAGCCACCGUUGGGAUACCACCCUUGUGAUAUUGAAAUUCUAACACGAGCCUUUGAAUCAAGGUUAUGGACAGUGUCAGGUGGGCAGUUUGACUGGGGCGGUCGCCUCCCAAAAGGUAACGGAGGCGCCCAAAGGUUCCCUCAGCGCGGUUGGAAAUCGCGCGCACAGAGUGUAAAGGCAGAAGGGAGCUUGACAGCGAGACCAACAAGUCGAGCUGGGAGGUAUUUGGGCAUCUACCCUGCUGUGUGCCCCGAAGGGGUAGGAG
rnacentral:ncRNA from 1 species